GCGACGGGUGAGUAACACGUGAGUAACCUGCCCUUAACUCUGGGAUAAGCCUGGGAAACUGGGUCUAAUACCGGAUAUGACUCCUCAUCGCAUGGUGGGGGGUGGAAAGCUUUUGUGGUUUUGGAUGGACUCGCGGCCUAUCAGCUUGUUGGUGAGGUAAUGGCUCACCAAGGCGACGACGGGUAGCCGGCCUGAGAGGGUGACCGGCCACACUGGGACUGAGACACGGCCCAGACUCCUACGGGAGGCAGCAGUGGGGAAUAUUGCACAAUGGGCGGAAGCCUGAUGCAGCGACGCCGCGUGAGGGAUGACGGCCUUCGGGUUGUAAACCUCUUUCAGUAGGGAAGAAGCGUAAGUGACGGUACCUGCAGAAGAAGCACCGGCUAACUACGUGCCAGCAGCCGCGGUAAUACGUAGGGCGCAAGCGUUAUCCGGAAUUAUUGGGCGUAAAGAGCUCGUAGGCGGUUUGUCGCGUCUGCCGUGAAAGUCCGGGGCUCAACUCCGGAUCUGCGGUGGGUACGGGCAGACUAGAGUGAUGUAGGGGAGACUGGAGUUCCUGGUGUAGCGGUGAAAUGCGCAGAUAUCAGGAGGAACACCGAUGGCGAAGGCAGGUCUCUGGGCAUUAACUGACGCUGAGGAGCGAAAGCAUGGGGAGCGAACAGGAUUAGAUACCCUGGUAGUCCAUGCCGUAAACGUUGGGCACUAGGUGUGGGGGACAUUCCACGUUUUCCGCGCCGUAGCUAACGCAUUAAGUGCCCCGCCUGGGGAGUACGGCCGCAAGGCUAAAACUCAAAGGAAUUGACG
rnacentral:rRNA from 1 species